rnacentral:rRNA from 1 species
AGAAUCAACGCUGGCGGCGUGCCUAACACAUGCAAGUCGCACGAGAAAGGGGAGCAAUCCCUGAGUACAGUGGCGCACGGGUGAGUAACACGUGAAUAACUCUACCUCCGAGUGGGGAAUAACUGAGAGAAAUCUUAGCUAAUACCGCAUAACACUUACGAGUCAAAGCAGCAAUGCGCUUGGAGAGGAGUUCGCGGCCGAUUAGUUAGUUGGCGGGGUAAUGGCCCACCAAGACGAUGAUCGGUA